UGAGGAAUAUUGGUCAAUGGGCGAGAGCCUGAACCAGCCAAGUAGCGUGCAGGAUGACGGCCCUAUGGGUUGUAAACUGCUUUUAUAAGGGAAUAAAGUGGGAGUCGUGACUCCUUUUGCAUGUACCUUAUGAAUAAGGACCGGCUAAUUCCGUG
rnacentral:rRNA from 1 species